rnacentral:rRNA from 1 species
AGAGUUUGAUCCUGGCUCAGGAUGAACGCUAGCUACAGGCUUAACACAUGCAAGUCGAGGGGAAACGACAUCGAAAGCUUGCUUUUGAUGGGCGUCGACCGGCGCACGGGUGAGUAACGCGUAUCCAACCUGCCCACCACUUGGGGAUAACCUUGCGAAAGUAAGACUAAUACCCAAUGACGUCUCUAGAAGACAUCUGAAAGAGAUUAAAGAUUUAUCGGUGAUGGAUGGGGAUGCGUCUGAUUAGCUUGUUGGCGGGGUAACGCCCACCAAGGCGACGAUCAGUAGGGGUUCUGAGAGGAACGGUCCCCCAGAUUGGAACUGAGACACGGUCCAAACUCCUACGGGAGGCAGCAGUGAGGAAUAUUGGUCAAUGGGCGAGAGCCUGAACCAGCCAAGUAGCGUGCAGGAAGACGGCCCUAUGGGUUGUAAACUGCUUUUAUAAGGGAAUAAAGUGAGCCUCGUGAGGCUUUUUGCAUGUACCUUAUGAAUAAGGACCGGCUAAUUCCGUGCCAGCAGCCGCGGUAAUACGGAAGGUCCGGGCGUUAUCCGGAUUUAUUGGGUUUAAAG